AACCAAUGAACUUGUAUAAGUGUAUACUUUGAAAGUAUAAAAAAGAAAUUUUAACCUUUCUAUUGGUUU
rnacentral:tRNA from 1 species